AACAAGGAUUUAAAGAACGGAAAGUAACGUAAACACUGAUAGUAAAAAGAACGUGGUCGUAGCUUUACAUAUAUAUAUUUUUUUCUGGCUAGCAGUUGUUCAGCAGCAUUGUCUCGGUCUCUGUGACCAUUCUUUGGUUUUCGUUGUUUCUAGCAUGUCUGUCUCGGUGAUUCACGCACAGCUGGCUCCCUACUACAAACUCCCUCAUGUUCAGAUCCACCAGGAAGAAUACUUGGAAUCCAUAUUCCAGAAAAACAAGAAUCCUAAUUACAGUGAUCUGGUCAUUUGGUCAGCAGAGGUCGGACUGACAGUGAAGGACAUAAAGACCUGGUUCGAAAACAGAUUGGCUUGUUGGAGACAGGAACAAGGACUUCCCGCUAAUGGAAAGCUGGUGAAUGAAUGAUGGAGCUUCGGACAAAUAACAAAAGAAAAAACCCCAGAGGGCGACUAGGUCACUUUAUGUGAAGAUUAAUUAACAAAAAUAAAUUGAUAAUGUACAAGAGGACAGGGUAGCUUUGUACAUAUAUAUAUAUAUAUAUACUAAAACGAAUAAUGUAUGAAAACACAUAUAAAGUUUUUACUUAAUAUGUUAUUAUUUUUUUAUGAAAUCCUUGAAGCUCCUUUAUCAGUAUUUGUCACUCUCAUAUUAGUGUGAAAAUCUCAAUGUCUUACCAUCAUAAUUGAAGUAGAAUGCUAGGUAUUAUCGUUUGAUGAAUGAUGAAAUAAAAUAACUAUUUUUGAUGA